UACGUAGGGGGCUAGCGUUGUCCGGAAUCAUUGGGCGUAAAGAGCGUGUAGGCGGCCCGGUAAGUCCGCUGUGAAAGUCGGGGGCUCAACCCUCGAAUGCCGGUGGAUACUGUCGGGCUAGGGUGCGGAAGAGGCGAGUGGAAUUCCUGGUGUAGCGGUGAAAUGCGCAGAUAUCAGGAGGAACACCGAUUGCGAAGGCAGCUCGCUGGGACGUUACUGACGCUGAGACGCGAAAGCGUGGGGAGCAAACAGG
rnacentral:rRNA from 1 species